CCCUUAGAUGUCCGGGGCUGCACGCGCACUACACUGAAGGAAUCAGCGUGCUAAAACCAUUGUCGAAAGGCAUUGGUAAACCCAUUAAAAUCCUACGUGAUUGGGAUCGGGAAUUGCAAUUAUUUCCCUUGAACGAGGAAUUCCCAGUAAGUGUGGGUCAUAAGCUCGCGUUGAUUACGUCCCUGCCCUUUGUACACACCGCCCGUCGCUGCCCGGGACUGAGCCGUUUCGAGAAAAGCGGGGACUGCUGCUGUCGGGGCUUUCGGGCCUUGGCUUCGGUGGAAACCGCUUUAAUCGCAGUGGCUUGAACCGGGCAAAAGUCGUAACA
rnacentral:rRNA from 1 species